UGUUCCAGAUGAUAAGAAAUCCACAGCUAAGAAAAAGAAUCUCUAAUUGAUUGUGGAGAUUCAAGUAACUAGAUUCUUUACUUCUAGGUUUUUAGAAUACAUAUAAUUUUUUCUUUACUUCUAGGUUUUUAGAAUACAUAUAAUUUUUAUGUAUUGAUUAAAAAAUAAUAUAUUUAGUGGUAGUUGUAGGCAUUUCCACUUAAGAUUCUUCUGAGAAAUUUACCUGAGAUGUAUUCAUAUGUAAUUCAAUUAUCAGCUGCUGAUAGAGCUGCUUAGUGGUUUAUCAUAUGUGCAAUAGUGGUUUAUUUAUUUAUUUUUACUUUUUUAAAUCCCCUUUUGGAUGGAUAUGUAAAUGUGGUGAUUGAGAUUCAG
rnacentral:misc_RNA from 1 species